rnacentral:rRNA from 1 species
GACGAACGCUGGCGGCGUGCUUAACACAUGCAAGUCGAACGGAAAGGCCCUGCUUUUGUGGGGUGCUCGAGUGGCGAACGGGUGAGUAAAACGUGAGUAACCUGCCCCUGACUUUGGGAUAACUUCAGGAAACUGGGGCUAAUACAGGAUAGGAGCUCCUGCUGCAUGGUGGGGGUUGGAAAGUUUCGGCGGUUGGGGAUGGACUCGCGGCUUAUCAGCUUGUUGGUGGGGUUAUGGCGUACCAAGGUUUUGACGGGUAGCCGGCCUGAGAGGGUGACCGGGCACCAUGGGACUGAGAUACGCACCAGACUCCUACGGUCCGCAACAGUGGGAAAUAUUGCACAAUGGGCGGAAGCCUGAUGCGGCAACGCCGCGUGCGGGAUGACGGCCUUCUGGGUGUGAACCACUUUCGCAGGUAACGAAGCGUGAGUGACGGUAAUGGGUAAAGAAGCACCGGCUAACUACGUG